UCCUCCUUGGUGUAGUGGUGCAUACGCCGAGCUGCAGCGCCUCCGGGGGCUGUUUGAGAUAUCGGCGAGGGGCAGAGUUCAAUUCCUGCAGGAGGAA